UAAAACAAAAAUCACACACACACCCACACAAGGUGUGCGUGUGAUCGAGCAGUAGAAAAGGGGAAGGGGUGUAAACCCUAACCCACAUGAAAUCAUCAAAUUGGAAAUGGAUUUGAGGGUUAAUUGGAUGCAUGAACCAAGAUUUAUGAUCACUCAAGCGUUCUUGACACCAAGAUAGGAAUCCCAAAUUGACAUGGACUCAAGUAUGGAAAGCUAACGGGUCAAGCGGAGGUGAGGAAGCUAGCAUGAACACUAACGCUUAAGGUAAGUGAUUCCGUAAUCACUUCUUAGUUGUUUAUGUAAUGUUAUAUGCAAUUUAAUUAUAUGUGAUAAUUGAGGUCGAAUAGGAAUGAAUUGUAUGAUGUCAAUGAAGUAUUAAACGGAUCUUAGUUUUGAUCCGAGCAAGGUAGGUGUGAUUAAGAAAUUGUAGCUAAGUAGUGGAAUUGGUUACUUAUGUAAGGAAUUCCUUUGUUAUUAAGGAUAGAGCAUAGUUGACUAAAAUGCCCUUGAUAGGUAUAUCGGGCAAACGACCUUAGAAGUCGUUUGGAAACGAGCUAUUCGAUUAGAGUAAUGUCUUGGACAAGUAUGAAAGCGAAGUAUAGGGUUUGGUAUGUCAUAGUCCACUUAAUGCGCAAAUACCCAUAACGGGUCAAAAAUAAGCCUUUGAGCGAAAAUGGGUUAAGAGGAUGCAAGACGUCUGAGAAUUUAAUCUUUUAUGAUAGGUGCCGAUGAAAUUAUUAAAGUUCAUAUGAGAUUGAGGUCAAAUAAACAGAUUAUGUUGAUAAAUGCACGAACGGGUCAAAUAGUUAGAAGAUGAUAAUAUGUCGAAUGCACGUAAGUUAAGAAUUUCCUUAAUCCGGAGGUAGGAUUUUAAGUUAAUAUGAUAGAAUGUGAAUUUACAAGCAUGUAGGAAGAAACGGGAGGUUAAACGGGUAAACGGUUCAAAAGUUAUGCGAGUUUUAGU
rnacentral:lncRNA from 1 species